rnacentral:rRNA from 1 species
AAUGGGCGCAAGCCUGAUCCAGCAAUGCCGCGUGUGUGAAGAAGGCCUGCGGGUUGUAAAGCACUUUCAGUGGGGAAGAACGGAUGCGGGCCAAUACCCCGGAUCACUGACGUUACCCACAGAAUAAGCACCGGCUAACUACGUGCCAGCAGCCGCGGUAAUACGUAGGGUGCAAGCGUUAAUCGGAAUUACUGGGCGUAAAGCGUGCGCAGGCGGUGAUGUAAGACAGAGGUGAAAUCCCCGGGCUCAACCUGGGAACUGCCUUUGUGACUGCAUCGCUGGAGUGCGGCAGAGGGGGAUGGAAUUCCGCGUGUAGCAGUGAAAUGCGUAGAUAUGCGGAGGAACACCGAUGGCGAAGGCAAUCCCCUGGGCCUGCACUGACGCUCAUGCACGAAAGCGUGGGGAGCAAA